GGAACAGCUCCCAUGUCAUUCAAAUCACCUUCCAAAGAGAGAGCUAGGAAACCAGCAAAGAACCUCCUUUGAAACCGCCACCACCGCACCCCUCUCUUCUACCAAGCUUUGAAAAACAUCACCUAUACUUAGCCACUAUUUCAGGCCUAAGUUAUCACAAGGGACACUCAAGAAGAAGCUCACAAGAAGGCACUCUCAAGAACACUCACAGUAAGGUGCAAAUGGAGAGAGAAGUCUUGAGGAGAAGAGAGAGGGCCGAAUUUUAAGAGAGAAAGACUUGUUUUUCCAAAAACGUGAGAAAGCCCUAUUUGGUGGAAAAAUAGUCAAAGCUUCUCACACAAGCUCAAGCAACAAAAAAUAUCUCACAUAGAAUAAAUCACAGCCGUCGAUCCCAUCCAAUGGUCCACAAUAAAACUAGACAAGCACAAUCCAUAUGAAUGACACAAAUAGCACUUAAAUCUAAUAGAGUUAAGAGAACC
rnacentral:lncRNA from 1 species